rnacentral:lncRNA from 1 species
AUGGCUCGGAUCCUGCAUCCCUGUGGCUGCCGUGUAGACCAGCAGCUACAGUUCCGAGUUAGCCUGGGAACCUGUAUAUGCCGUGGGGUUCAAAAAAAAAAGAAAAGAAGGAGAGAAAGAGAAGUGUGGUUGCUGGGAGAUGGGAGGAAAGCAGAGUGAGGAUUUGUUGAUUGGUGGGUAUAGUGUUUCAAGUUUUUCAACUUGAAAAAAAUUUUUUUUUACUGGAUUCAAAAAAAUUUAUAUUCAUUAGAAUAAAUUCCAGUAUACUGCCAGGACAGUCUCACCAGUGACCCAGCUCUAAAGGCUGACAGUGCUACGUGUUCAGGGAGGAAGUGCUACGCUGGGUGGGGAGCAGGUCGCAGGCUGGGACCAGCUGAGUCCAGGCCUUCUGGUCUGCAGGUCAGCGGCACCGAGAUGCUGGCUGCUGGCGGAAGGAGCGAAUGAGUGAUUGGCAGCUGCCCUCACCUCCCCCAGGAGCCCCUCCUUUCCUGCGGCUCCAGACGCCCCCCCCCCGACCCCGGGACCCUACGUCUUGCAGGACCGACCACCCCAGGGUCCAGGGUCCCUGGCUCGGCACCUGAGCUACCGGCUGGACGUGCAGGAGACCGUGACGGUGCAGGAGGGCCUGUGUGUCCGCGUGCCCUGCUCCUUCUUCCAUUCUUGGAUCUCCUGGUCUGCGCCUGUUCACGGCUACUGGUUCCGCGAAGAGGCCACACCUGUUCCGGGAUGAUCCCGUGGCCACAAACAACCCAGCUCUUAAAGUGCGGGAGGAGACCCGGGGCCGAUUCCACCUCCUCUGGGACCCGCGGAACAAGAGCUGCUCCCUGGACAUCAGAGACGCACAAUGCCGUUUGGAAAUUAACUUCUAGAGAAAAAAAUCAUUUAUCUGAAAUGAGAGUUGCACUGAAUGAGACCAAGAGCAGAUUCAGUACUGUGGGAGAGUAAUCAGUGUGUUUGAAGGUGUAGCAGCAGCUCCUAUUGAAACUGCAGAAUCUAGAGAAAAAGGCUGGAAACGGUGAAGAGAUGCUCAGGGCCCUGCAAGAUAAUAUGCAGCAAUAUAACAUGCGUAAAAUUGGAGACCCGUGGAGUUCCCCUCGUGGCUGAGUGGUUAAAAAAUCCGACUAGGAACCAUGAGGUUGUGGGUUUGAUCCCUGGCCUCCCUCAGUGGGUUAAGGAUUUGGCCUUGCGGCGAGCUGUGGUGUAGGUCGCAGACGGGGCUCGGAUCCCACGUUGCUGUGGCUCUGGCGUAGACUGGCAGCUACAGCUCCGAUUAGACCCCUAGCCUGGGAACCUCCAUAUGCUGCGGGAGUGGUUCUAGAAAAGGCAAAAAAAAAAAAAAAAAAAAAAAAAAAUUGGAGACCCAGAGGAGAAAGAGAGGAAGAAUAGGAAAAAUAUGUAUGUAUUUGAAUAAACAGCAGCUUCAAUGUCGACA